UUACCAGCGGCGUCAGAUUCGCUUGGUGCAAAACGGAAAUUGAUUGUCUGACACCUCCACGUGUUUUAUCAUGUUGUGAGCAGUGAUCUGUUCCCGCCUUGCACCAACUGAAUCGGAGUAUAAGGUGAAA
rfam:Arabis alpina cultivar Pajares chromosome 6, whole genome shotgun sequence.